AUGCCGCCGCCGAUGGGAAUGCGGGCGCUUCUGCUGCUCCUGCUCCUUGCCUUCGCCGCCGGCACGUCCAGUGCCGCCCCUAGCGGAGCAAGCCCGAUCAAGAACGUGGUGGUGCUGGCGCUGGAGAACCGGUCCUUCGACCACAUGCUGGGCUGGAUGCGCCGCCUGCUCGGCCUCCCCAUCGACGGCCUCACCGGCGCCGAGUGCAACGCCGACCCCACCAACUCCUCCCUCCCGCCCGUCUGCGUCUCCUCCGACGCCUCCCUCGUCGUCCCCGACGACCCCGGCCACUCCUUCGAGGACGUGCUCGACCAGGUCUUCGGGUUCCGCCCCAACUCCACCGCCGGCGCCGCCGACCAGCCGGCUCCCCCCACCAUGUCGGGCUUCGUGCGCUCCGCGCUCUCCGUCAACUCCCUGCUCUCCUCCGCCGUCAUGCGGGGCUUCACCCCGUCCCUCCUCCCGGCCUUCUCCGCGCUCGCCGCCGACUUCGCCGUGUUCGACCGCUGGUUCUCCUCCCUCCCGGGCCCCACGCAGCCCAACCGCCUCUUCCUCUACUCCGCCACCUCCCACGGCGCCGUCGCCCACGACAAGUGGAACCUCCUCCGCGGCUACCCGCAGCGCACCAUCUUCGACUCCCUCGCCGCCGAUGGCCGCCGCUUCAACGUCUACUUCAAGACCAUCCCCACCACCCUCUUCUACCGCAACCUUCGCACCGUGCGCGCCGCCGCCCAGAGCUUCCACUUCUACGACUCCGCAUUCAGGGACCACGCCCGGAGGGGGCGGCUGCCAGCGCUGUCCGUCAUCGAGCCCAGGUACUUCGACCUCACCGGCACGCCCGCCGACGACGACCACCCGGCACACGACGUCGCCAACGGGCAGAGGCUCGUCAAGGACGUCUACGAUACGCUGCGGGCCAGCCCGCAGUGGAACGACACCCUGCUCAUCGUCACCUACGACGAGCACGGCGGCUUCUACGACCACGUCGCCACUCCCGUCGCCGGCGUGCCCAGCCCCGACGGCCUCAGGGGCCCCGUGCCAUUCUUCUUCAAGUUCGACCGGCUCGGGGUCAGGGUGCCCACAAUGAUGGUAUCGCCGUGGAUCAAGAAGGGGACGGUGGUGGGGCGGCCGCCGAACGGGCCGACGGCGACAUCCGAGUACGAGCACUCCUCCAUCCCGGCGACCAUCAAGAAGAUCUUCAACCUCAGAUCUGAUUUCCUCACCAAGAGAGACGAAUGGGCAGGCACAUUUGAGCACAUCUUCACCCAACUCGACCAACCAAGGACAGAUUGCCCAGAGACUUUGCCAGAAGUGCCAUUUGAGAGAGCAACACCAGCGAAAGAGCACGGAAUUCUCUCGGAUUUCCAGCGUGAGCUCAUCGAAUUAGCAAGCUUCUUGAACGGCGACUACAUGUUGACAAGUUCCGCUCAGGAGACGCAGAAAAAGAUGACCGUGAAGCAGGCCGACGCAUACGUGAGACGAGCCAUCAAAGGUUUUCUGCAGGCAAGCAAGCAGGCCAGGCGAUUAGGCGCAAAUGAGUCUGCAAUUGUUACCAUGAGGUCAUCUUUGACAAGUAAGAGUACCACCUCAAGUCCUUAA
rnacentral:rRNA from 1 species